GACGAACGCUGGCGGCGUGCUUAACACAUGCGAGUCGAACGGUAAGGCUCCAGCUUGCUGGGGUACACGAGUGGCGAACGGGUGAGUAACACGUGGGUGACCUGCCCUGCACUUCGGGAUAAGCCUGGGAAACUGGGUCUAAUACCGGAUAGGACCAUGGUGUGGAUACUGUGGUGGAAAGUUUUUUCGGUGUGGGAUGGGCCCGCGGCCUAUCAGCUUGUUGGUGGGGUAAUGGCCUACCAAGGCGGCGACGGGUAGCCGGCCUGAGAGGGUGGACGGCCACAUUGGGACUGAGACACGGCCCAGACUCCUACGGGAGGCAGCAGUGGGGAAUAUUGCACAAUGGGCGGAAGCCUGAUGCAGCGACGCCGCGUGGGGGAUGACGGCCUUCGGGUUGUAAACUCCUUUCACCAUCGACGAAGGGUUUCUGACGGUAGAUGGAGAAGAAGCACCGGCUAACUACGUG
rnacentral:rRNA from 1 species